GGACGGAAAACCGGGGCACUCUACAUUUCCAACCUGGUCCAGAAAACUGGGAAUCAUAGGAAAACCAACGAGUUGUUAAAUUCCACCCGUGCACAUACAAUUAUUGUAUAAAAGGCCCCAAAGUUCAUAGAAUAGUUUUACUGGUGUUUAUAAGUUUAUAUAGGUUCAUGUAAUGUUCGGUCUUCUGUCUGUUUGGGCCAGCCCACCUUCUAGUGACAUCAUCCGGUUAGUAAGGUGGGCAGUUUAAUGGCGGCUGGGCAGUGUUGGUCUGGAGGGGGUGCACUGAUUCCUGGGGCAUGUUAGGUGUGCGUAAAUGACAAGAAACCACACACACACACCCAGACACACACUUAUGUACACCCGCUGUGUUACAGCCCCAGAAAUUAAGCGGUGACAAUAAAGUGCCUCAAAUGGAACCUCAAGCUCCCUCCUUCUUUCGUAUUCUGGGCAAUUUGGCCUUAAGUGGUGUUCUGGCCGACACACCGGGGUGACCGUAGUGCUCAAAGACUGAAUCAGUGCCUAUCUUUGAUAUCUCCACUACAAUUAUAAACCAUACAAUGCAGACAAAAGCACAAAGCAUUCAUGUCAAUCAGUGGCACAAUGCUUUGAGUUUUGCUUUACCAGCAAGCUGCAAACCUACCCUGUGAGAAUCAUAAGCGCCUGCCCGUCAUCUGUGCUGGACGAAAGCUCCGCAGCAUUGGCCUCCAGUACAGCCAGACCAAGCUGGAAGAUGGCUUUGAUUCCGUGGAAGAAGAAGCAGUCGACCACGCAGACGGCGCUGUGGAACGGCAGGACGCUCAGGAACAGGGUGAGGAACCAAGACAGGGACACAGAGGAGAGGGUGGAAAGGUCUGGAAUCUGUUCAGCCAGCUCUGGCAGACGCUCCCUGAUGAGCUCCUCGAACACCGACUGGUCCACCUGAGCGCCUGCAGGAGAGGGUGGUGGAGUCAGACAGUGUUGGGGCAAAGAACGGCCUUGGAUGUAAGCCUGUCCAAAUUUUUCUCCAAGUUAAAUAUAUUCAAGACGUGUUAUGAUUCUCAUAAGUCUGACCUGUUUGAUGCCCAUUUUUCCUUAAUAUAUGGCUUUUUCAUCAUUCUGACCACUAGAUGGCAGCAUAAACAUGCUAUUCAGUCUGUGCUGUUCUGCAGUUCCACAAAAGAUUUUUAUAGUAAGGCUUUACUUCUCUUUGCUAAAUAGCUGCUGUGUUCUGUAAAGACAAGUAAUGUUAAUGUGGUUUCCGUGUUUUAACUAGAGGCAGGUUGUUGCCAGAAUAAAUAUAUCAAUGGUU